rnacentral:rRNA from 1 species
UACGUAGGGUGCGAGCGUUAAUCGGAAUUACUGGGCGUAAAGCGUGCGCAGGCGGUUCGUUAAGACAGAUGUGAAAUCCCCGGGCUUAACCUGGGAACUGCGUUUGUGACUGGCGGGCUAGAGUACGGCAGAGGGGGGUGGAAUUCCUGGUGUAGCAGUGAAAUGCGUAGAUAUCAGGAGGAACAUCGAUGGCGAAGGCAGCCCCCUGGGCCGCUACUGACGCUCAUGCACGAAAGCGUGGGGAGCAAAC